UACGUAGGGUGCGAGCGUUGUCCGGAAUUACUGGGCGUAAAGAGCUCGUAGGUGGUUUGUCGCGUUGUUCGUGAAAACUCACAGCUUAACUGUGGGCGUGCGGGCGAUACGGGCAGACUAGAGUUCGGUAGGGGAGACUGGAAUUCCUGGUGUAGCGGUGAAAUGCGCAGAUAUCAGGAGGAACACCGGUGGCGAAGGCGGGUCUCUGGGCCGAAACUGACGCUGAGGAGCGAAAGCGUGGGGAGCGAACAGG
rnacentral:rRNA from 1 species